rnacentral:rRNA from 1 species
CGAGGGUGCGAACGUUGCUCGGAUUUACUGGGCGUAAAGCGCGUGUAGGCGGACUCGCAAGUCGGUUGUGAAAUCCCUGGGCUUAACCUAGGAACUGCAUCCGAAACUGCUUGUCUUGAGUAAUGGAGAGGGUGGCGGAAUUCCCGGUGUAGAGGUGAAAUUCGUAGAUAUCGGGAGGAACAUCAGUGGCGAAGGCGGCCACCUGGACAUUUACUGACGCUGAGACGCGAAAGCGUGGGGAGCAAACAGGAUUAGAUACCCGAGUAGUCC